rnacentral:rRNA from 1 species
CUCAAAGGAAUUGGCGGAGGGGCACCACCAGGAGUGGAGCCUGCGGCUUAAUUUGACUCAACACGGGGAAACUCACCAGGUCCAGACACAAUAAGGAUUGACAGAUUGAGAGCUCUUUCUUGAUUUUGUGAGUGGUGGUGCAUGGCCGUUCUUAGUUGGUGGAGUGAUUUGUCUGCUUAAUUGCGAUAACGAACGAGACCUUAACCUACUAAAUAGUGGUGCUAGCAUUUGCUGGUUCUUCCACUUCUUAGAGGGACUAUCGAUUUCAAGUCGAUGGAAGUUUGAGGCAAUAACAGGUCUGUGAUGCCCUUAGACGUUCUGGGCCGCACGCGCGCUACACUGACGGAGCCAGCGAGUCUAACCUACGCCGAGAGGUCCUGGUAAUCUUGUGAAACUCCGUCGUGCUGGGGAUAGAGCUUUGUAAUUUUGCUCUUCAACGAGGAAUUCCUAGUAAGCGCAAGUCAUCAGCUUGCGUUGAUUACGUCCCUGCGCCUUGUACACACCGCC